UCUGCCAUCUUUUAAAAUUAUGACCAUCAAAAGUAAACGAUUUCGUCGAAUCCUCCAUAAUAAAAAAAUAAUCUGUUCACAAAUUAAUUCUACUGUUAUGUCAAAAAACAGUUUUGAAUUUCAGAAAAAUAACAGUAAGAAAUUUUACGUUUUAUUCAGAGAGAUCAAGAAAUAUUUUAAUUCUUAUAAUAAAAGAAACAGAAAGAUUAAAUUAAAAAAUAAUUUCGCUUCUACAUUGUUGGAAAAAAUCUUUCUGAUCUUUUAUUACAAUACUCUUUAAAAACAACUCAAAAAUUCAAUUUCAACUAUAGAAAAAUUCCAAAACAAAAUUAAACAAAAAUAUUGUAAAGAUAAGGUUUAGAUAAGGCCUGUGGAUCGAGGCGUGUAGAGCACUGUCCUAGACGCGAAAUUGCCCCUCCAAGUGCGAGUCUUCCCGGCAAUUACUUCUAGUGAUACAACGACCACGUUCCACCUCGUCGGCACGCUUCCAAGGUGGUGCAAGACGAACUUAAGAAGUUUUAGAUCUAGUAAGAGAAAACUCGACGAAAAUUCAGAAAGCAGAAAAAGACGAGAGGGUUUAGGUAUGCUCGGGUUAUUUUUUUAGCUCGCG
rnacentral:lncRNA from 1 species